CGAACGGGUGAGUAAUGCGUGACCAACCUGCCCCAUGCUCCAGAAUAGCUCUUGGAAACGGGUGGUAAUGCUGGAUGCUCCAACUUGACGCAUGUCUUGUUGGGAAAGUGUUUAGUGGCAUGGGAUGGGGUCGCGUCCUAUCAGCUUGUAGGCGGGGUAAUGGCCCACCUAGGCUUCGACGGGUAGCCGGCCUGAGAGGGCGGACGGCCACAUUGGGACUGAGAUACGGCCCUUACUCCUACGGGAGGCAGCAGCC
rnacentral:rRNA from 1 species